UCGCUUUCUUUUGCUGUUUCGCGCUGCACUGUACUGUAGCCUGCAGCGACCCGGUGCACGCACUGUGACGCUGUGUCCACUGCACACGGGCAGACCGGCCGACGGCACACGCACCACCACCCGCGCGCGCUACAAAGUCACGGGCGUCCUUCCCUCCGUGCGGUUUCGGACGAGCGCCACCACCGGACACCGGAGGAGCAUCGAGGAAUGAGGAAAGAUAUGCGAGGCGGUUCGGCUCUGCCUCUGCUGCUGCUGCUGCUGCUGUGCUGCUCGCUCGCCGCCGUGCAGCCGGCGCGCGCGCUCUUCCACCUGCGCGGCGCGGGCGCGUACGUCGAACAGCUUCGCGGCGGCGGUGGCUACGGCGAGGAGAAGGUACCGAUGACGGUCGUGGUGCCGGACUACUCGCCGCGGCCGGCUCCGUUCGGGGCGCCCGCGCCCGCGCCGGCGAUACCGCCGUUGCCUGGCUCGGACGACGGCGGCGGCGGCGACAUGCCGACGCUGCCGUCUGAGCGGCGGAGCCCGCGCGGCGCGCUUCCCGGAGGCAAUGCGGGUGCUGAAGCCAACGCCGGCGCGCCGUCGCCUGCCCCGCGGCGGCAAGCACGAGCACGGCCUUCAUCAGCAGCAGCCCGGCGGUGCCGCUCCCCGCCGGCGUCACCGACUCCGCCACCGUCCUGCCCAUGCCCACCCCCGGCCAGGAACAGCAGCAGGCCGUGGGGAUGGGCACCCUGCCUCGAGCCAGGACGGUGCAGGUGCAGCUCGCCGUUCCUCUCGUCAUGAUGCUGUUCUUUUCGGCUCUCUGGUAGUAGAGUAGAAGUACAACUAGUAGUAAUAGUUCUUUUUUACUAUUGUAAUCACUAGUGUUUACUGCUUUCUCCUCUGUAGAUUGCUCGAAGUCCUAACCAUGCGUUUGUAAAAACAGUAAUCCCCAUGCAUUCUGUCAGAGACUAGUGCUCUCUGUUCACUGAA